AAGGGUUGGAUAGUCCAUGUGUUCCCAUUGGCGUCAAUUCACUGGGGUUUUUCCCCGUUAGUGAGGUUCCGAUGCCUGAUGGGUCCAAUCUUUCUUAAAAACUUCGCAUGGUAGAUUGAUAUUAUUGGGAAGAUGUAUCUCCAGCUGUUGACUAGAGGGGGGAGCCUUUUUCUUCAACCUCGACUUAUCAAAAUCUGAUACAGUUGGUCAUAAUUCUUGCCACAAUU
rnacentral:snoRNA from 1 species